GCUAAAAAGAAUAAAAAUUAAAAACUCAUUCUUUCUUUCUAAGUAAAAAAAAAAAAAAAAUCUCAUUCUUUCUUUCUUCUUCAAGAAACAAGAAAAGAAUGAAAACACGAUCGUGGAAUUUAUGGUGUUGGGUGUGUCGCACAAGGAUUCAAGAAAUUGCGAUGCUCUAUAUUUGCCGAUAAUCUCUUCUGUUUGCUACGCAGGUAUUUGUUUUCGGGUGAAACCUAUGCAGCAUCUCUCGGACAGGUAUAUAAGGGCCGCCUCAAGGAAAAUGGGGAUUUUGUUCUCGAGACAGUUACCACUUACCAUUGAUUUAUUCAUUAUUCGGAACCUUGGUUUGGCUCUUCGAAAGUUUCCUCAGGCAAAUUAAAUUCUUAUCUCCAUUGAUGUGGUUGGGUUGGUUGAUGAGUGGGCUGCUCGAUUUUUUGAGGAGUUAGACUAUGUGAAUGAAGGUGAAAAUGGAAACCGUUUUGCCGAAAUGAUGAAGAAAGACCUUCCACCGGUGAGUCUGAUCUUUUUGGUUAUGAAUGGCAUAUAAUUUUUAUAUGUACAGGAAGAACAAUAUGUUAGUCAAGGUCUUUUUUUUUUAUAUAAAUAAGUUUACAACAUUUCAUUAUCAAUAAUGAUGGUAAUACAUGUGGGAAUAUCAAUCACAAUCAUAUUUUCCAACCACAAAACUAAUGGUUCUCUUGGGUCAAUUAUUUAUAAAAUAUAAAACUGGUGAUAUAGGCCAGAAUUGUGACAUAAACUGAAAAAGGUUCCAAGUUCCAAUUGUGACUUAAACUGAAAAAAGUUCCAAGUUUAGUUUCUUUUGCAUUUCUUUUAAAGGGUAUAAAAACCCUAUGAGAAAGUGAAUCACUGUGUGACGGAAUCUUUUUUCAUUAUCUGAAAAAGGGGUGGAGUAUAUUGCCCUAAUAACCCUAAAUUUGACCGUUGGAAUCGAUGAAUAUACUCUGUGUUAUAAAUUUUGUAACGGAUAGAUCAUAGAUGUCUCAAUGACCAUAGAGUAAAAUGUUGGAUGAAUUUAAUGACCCUAGUCCCGGAAUGUGAAGAUAGUUGUUGCCUUAAUUGCUACUCAAGCAAUUGUCUCUAUCAAUGUCCGCUUUACUAUUAAAAAAAUAUAUGAAUUUUUAUUCGUAAUAAUGCAUGAAUGGUUAUAUAUUCAGCUUUAAUGACCCUUAGUCCCUUAAUUCUAUUCUGCAACUGCAAUUAGAAGUGAUUUUGCAUUAUGAACAAAACAUUCAAUCUUCUGCUUCAUAAAAACAAAACAAAAGAACCUUAAUUGAGCAAAGGUGUUCUUUCUGUCCCAUGACCAUUUUGUUUGUUACGGUAAAUUUUGAAACUUUCAUUUCAAUAUAUUUGCAUUCAUGAAUCAUAUGUGUUCCAUUUUUUCAUUUUUUUAUUUUGUCGAGAACAUUCAAUCUUCUGCUUGAAAAAGAGGUAAAACUUUACCCAUUUUUCUCGUUCUUGAUCAUUCAAGAACAUUCAAUCUUCUGCAUGAGAAAAAUAAAAAGAACCUUAAUUAUGCAAAAAGUGUUUUGUCCCAAGAUCAUGUUUGGUACCAAUAUUUUAAAAAAACAGUUUUUUGUUUGUUACGAUAAUGCAAUUUCACACGUUUUUGGAAUUUUCACUCCAAUAUAUUUGCCCCAUCUGGUUUAUAAUCAAUACCUAUUGGGAACGAUGAUGGGCUUCGAUAAAAACUUUUAAUCUUAUGCUUUGAUAAAAAGUAAUUGGAUGUCUUGAUGCCCAAAAAAUGUUGGAUAAAUUACUUAACGACCCUAGUCCCUGAAUGCGAAAGCUAGUUGUUGCCUUAAUUGCUACUGAAGCAAUUGUCUCUAUUUCAUAAGUUAUGUAAGGGAUGGAUGCCACAAUGACCUUUAAGAAAAAUGCAUUAUGAAUUCUUUAUUCAUAAUGAAAAAGUUGGAUGGUGGCUUUCAAAGGAAAGACAUUUAAUAUGAAAUUUUAUUCAAAACGUGGAUGGUGUCUAUUGUCUUUUUUUUUGUUUUUUGGUACAAGGUGUCUAUUGACUUUUUAUGACCCUAAUUGUGAAACUGUCACUAGUGGUAUGGUAUACACGAGAUCGCUAACUCCAAAUUCGAUGAUAAGAUGAAUAUACUUUGUUCCAUGAUUUUUGUAAGGAUUUGUCUUGGUGGCCCAAAAAUGCUGGAUGAUGCCAUAUUGUGAAAGCUAGUUGUUGCCUUAAAUGCAAUUUUUAUAUAAAAUUUCAUUCAUAAUAUAAGGCAUGGAUAAUAUCUAUUGUGCUUUGAUGACCCUAGUACCUAGAUGCAAUUUUCCAACUACAAUAUGAAGUGAUUUUGCAAAUGCAAAAGGAAGUGCUUCCUUGUGUUUGAUUAGCCUACUGAUAAGGGUUGGGUUUCAAAGGAAUUCUCAGGAACAAAUUACAAAGAAACGAACUGUUUGGAGUAUAAACUAUUUCUUAUAAUAUUGAUGGGGUAUGUAUGAGUGCAUCGCGUCCUAGAGGCUUUGCACAAAGAUAUUGUGAACCCCUUGUUUCAUCGAGGGAUGGUGACUUUGGAAGCAGUGCUGUGGGGCUGCCACAUGUUUUUUUACUUAAAGUUGCUGCUUUAGAGACUGUAAGGAGGUUCUCAAAGAGUAGAUGCCCAUGUGUGUGGCGAGGUCUACAGAGUCUACGAAUCCUUGUCCUACCACAAUUUAAAUGGAUUCAGAGGUGGGCUGCCUUCAGGGGUUUGGUCAAAAGAUUGCAGGUACUAUCAAGACCAUUAUUCAUCCUUUCCAUUGGAACAGUCUUUACUGAUGAACUGGAAUGUAGUGAUGGAACCUCAGAUCAUAUUACUAACUCUCGUGAUUCAGAAAUAUCUGCAGCAGAACCAUCUCCUGUGCAGGAUAAUAUGAAUAUUAGGUAUAUGAUUUGAGGCUUCUUACUAAGGUUUACAUGUGCAAUUUAUCCUUGUUGCGAUGUUAUUAUAAACACUUUACUUUUGAGGUUAGAAUGGCAUAAUUUUCUACGUAAGAUCUAUGAUGAGUAUAUUAACAUUUGCUUGUUAAAUUAUUAUUAACUUCUCGGCCCAUAAUUUCUAGACGGUUAUUUGCUUAAUUGAGGAUCAUUUGACAUUAACCUAUUGCCGAAUUGAUAAAGUUGGCUUUGCAAAUAACUGAUAUGCAACAACAAAACCAAACCGUGGACCAUCCCACAUUAUGCAGUUUCCUAUGUUUCUAAUUAUUUUACUCAGAUCCUUGUUUCUGAAAAUUUGGAGUGAUAUUAGAGUCGAUGGGAAAUUAUUAUUUUUAUGUUUGGAAGUUUUCUUUCAGGUUCCUAUGUUUCUAAUUAUUUACUCAAAUCCCUGUUUCUUGAGAGUAAUCUAACUGAUUACAGAACCAGUUAGUUACUUGAGAGUUAAGUCCUGAACUAAACUCUGUAACAAAAAUUGGUAUUCUGUUACUCAACUCAUCAACCGAUGCAAGUGCGACUCUGAAAACACAAUUUCAAUUAAGUGUAGUUAGGAGACUUCUCUAUUAAAUAUAGGCAUCAUUCUGUAGUUCUGAUAAUAAUCAGUUUAGCAAGUUAGUAGUCUGGCAAUCAUUGUAUACAAUAAUCCAUCCAUGAAAUUGUGCAAAAUCUAAGAUAAUUACUGUUUGAACCGCACUAAAUCAAUUUCUUUUCUACACUGUCUUUCUGAGAAUGAAACUUAGUGACUUAUUAAGUUAUUAUGAACUUAGUCACCCUAGUUCCUAAUGUUUCAUAAGUUUUUUAAGGGAUGGAUGCUUCAAUGACCUUAGAGUAAAAUGCAUUACGAACUCUUUAUUCAUAAAGGAAAAGUUGGAUGGUGGCCUUUAAAGAAAUUUGAAUAUGAACUUUUAUUCAAAAUGUGCAUGGUGUCUUCUAUUGUCUUAUUAUGACCCUAAUUGUGAAAAUGUCACUGAGAUGAUUUUUCUUUUCAUUAUCUAUAAAGGGUGGUAUAGUAUACGUAUACAUGAACCCACUAACUCCAAAUUCGAUAAUAAGAAGAUUUUACUUUUUUCCCUGAUUUUUGUAAGGGAUUGACUUCUUAACCCAAAAAUGUUGGAUGAUGCCUUAAUGCGAAAGCUAGUUGUUGCCUUAAAUGAAAUUGUGCUUUGACGAAAAAUAAUAAGGCACAAAUGUGAAAGUUGGAAUCGAUGAAUAUACUUUGUCUUGUAAAUUUUGUAACGGAUGGAUCAUAGAUGCCUCAGUUACCAUAGAGUAAAAUGUUGGAUGAACUGAUUGACCCUAGUCCCUGAUAUGAAAGUUAGUUGUUGCUUUAAUUGCUACUCAAGCAAUUGUCUCUAUCGGUGUCCGCUUUUCUAUUAAAAAAAUUAUCAAUUUUUAUUCAUAAUAAUGCAUGAAUGGAUAUAUAUUCUAUUUUUAUGACCCUUAGUCUCUAAAUAAAAUUCUGCAACUAGAAGUAAUUUUGCAUUAUAAGCUUAAUGACCCUUGUCCCUAAUGUUGACUGAUGCCUUAAUGUGAAAGAUAGUUGUUACCUCAAUGACUACAGGGUAACAGAUGGAUGAGAUACUAGGGAUAAUGGAUAGAUCAUAGAUGUCUCGUUGACUAUAGAGUAAAAUGUUGGAUGAACUUAAUGACCCUUGUCCCUCAAUGGAAAAUGAAUUAUGAAUUCUUUAUUCAUAAUGGAAAAGUUGGAUGGAGGUUUUCAAAGCAAAGCAAUUUUAAUAUGAAAUUUUAUUCAAACCUUGGAUGGUGUCUAUUAUCUUUUAUGACCCUAAUUGUGAAACUGUCACUAGUGGUAUGGUUUACAUGAGAUGACUAACUCCAAAUUCAAUGGAUAUACUUUGUUCCUUGAUUUUUGUAAGUGAUUGUCUUGCUGGCUCAAAAUGUUGGAUUAUGCCUUAAUGUAAAAGCUAGUUGUUGUCUUAAAUGCAAUUUUAAUAUAAAAUUUCAUUCAUAAUAUAAGGCAUGGAUAUUAUCUGUUGUGCUUCAAUGACCCUAGUCCCUGAAUGCAAUUUUUCAACUACAAUAUGAACUGAUUUUGCAAAUGCAAAAGGCAUUGCGUCCUUGUGUUUGAUUAGUCUACUGAUAAGGGUUUCAAAGGAAUUCUCUAAGGAAGACACGAAUCAAUUUAAGCAAAGUACAAAGAAACCAACUCUUUGGAGUCUAAACUGUUUCUUAUAAUAUCUAUCUGGUUAAUAUGGCAUUAUGGCCAUGAGGUUGUAUCUGUUAGUCUUUUUUACUGGAGAUCUAUUGUGAAAUCUGAUAAAUUUUGGUGGGUGUUGGUAUAAGAAUCAGAUAGCACUAAAUUUGUGUUCAUAAUUAUAAAUGGAUGUCUUUGAUUUAGUAACUGAAAAAGGUAGAACCUUACCCAUUUUUAUCAUUCUUGAUCAUUCAAUAUAAUUCAAUUUUCUGCUUGAUAAAUACAAAACAUUUUAUUGGU